rnacentral:rRNA from 1 species
AUGCCAUCUUACUACGUGCCCUCGGAUGACCUGCCACGCGCGGAGGCCUCCGGAUCCACCGUCGCCGCCAUCGCGGUCGGCACCGGGGAGCACACGCUCACGGUCCAGGGCUACUCGCGGCUCAAGACCAUGAACGGCGGCUACCUGGAGUCCAGCGCGUUCAAGGCGGGAGGACACGCCUGGAAGAUCCGCUGCCACCUCAACGGGUCGGUCAAGGAGAACGCCGGCUUCGUCUCGGUGUUCCUCAAGCUCGUCGGCGCCGAGGCCACCGACACAACCGCUGAAGCUGCCGAUGCCGUCGACAAGGAGAACAUCGUCCAUGCCGAGCUCGAGUUCGCCCUGGUGCACCACCGUGGCACGCUGAUAAAGUGGCCGUCACACUCGCUCUGCAGACGCGAGGGUCCAUCCGCCUUUCGCGAGAACGUCUCCAUGGGCUACUCGCGGUUCGUGAGCGCGGAGGACCUGAAGCGUUCUAGUUUCCUCAAGGACGACUGCUUUGCCGUCCGGUGCAAGGUCACUGUCGUCCAGAACUGUGCCGUCAAAGGGGACGCGAGGCCCCGUGGGAAGGCGUUGGCUAGGUUCUUUAGUUGCAUCCGUGGAUAG